UACGGAGGGGGCUAGCGUUGUUCGGAAUUACUGGGCGUAAAGCGCACGAAGGCGGCUUGGUAAGUAGAGGUGAAAGCCUGGAGCUCAACUCCAGAAUUGCCUUUAAGACUGCCGAGCUAGCAGGUGAGAGAGGUGAGUGGAAUUCCGAGUGUAGAGGUGAAAUUCGUAAAUAUUCGGAAGAACACCAGUGGCGAAGGCGGCUCACUGGCUCAUACUGGACGCUGAGGUGCGAAAGCGUGGGGAGCAAACAGG
rnacentral:rRNA from 1 species